UUUUCUAUCUAUCUACAGUGAGCUCCAAAAGUAGUUGGACAGUGACACAUGUUGUUUUGACUCUGUACUCCAGCACUUGGGAUUUUAAAUGAUACAAUGACUGAGGUUAAAGUGUAGACUUGCAGACUCCAAACUGCCUCUGGAAGCAAUGUCAGCACGAGAACUGUUUGGUGGAGGAGGAAUAAUGGGGAUCUGGGGAUGUUUUUCAUGAUUCUGGCUAAGACCUUCACUAAAUGCUCUUGUGCCCAAAUGGAAGCAAGUUCCCGCAGCAGUGUUUGAACAUCUAGUGGAAAGCCUUCCCAGAAGAGUGGAGGCUGUUAUAGCAGCAAAGGGGGGACCAACCCCAUAUUAAUAAGGACGAUGUCUGCGCCCUGGCGGAAAUCUAAUUAACAUAGUAAAAUAAGCAUAGUAAAAUCUCCAGAAAUGUCACAUUAAGCUAGAGAUCAGUUUUUUGUUUACGUGUCAAUCCACCGCAUCUGCAUAUGUCGCACUUCCACAGCUGUGGUAAAAGGUGACAGCGCUAGAGCAGUGAUGGUCAGACCAUGAGACAUCCCAUCUGUGGUAAAAGGUGACAGCGCUAGAGCAGUGAUGGUCAGACCAUGAGACAUCCCAUCUGUGGUAAAAGGUGACAGCGCUAGAGCAGUGAUGGUCAGACCAUGAGACAUCCCAUCUGUGGUAAAAGGUGACAGCGCUAGAGCAGUGAUGGUCAGACCAUGAGACAUCCCAUCUGUGGUAAAAGGUGACAGCGCUAGAGCAGUGAUGGUCAGACCAUGAGACAUCCCAUCUGUGGUAAAAGGUGACAGCGCUAGAGCAGUGAUGGUCAGACCAUGAGACAUCCCAUCUGUGGUAAAAGGUGACAGCGCUAGAGCAGUGAUGGUCAGACCAUGAGACAUCCCAUCUGUGGUAAAAGGUGACAGAGCUAGAGCAGUGAUGGUCAGACCAUGAGACAUCCCAUCUGUGGUAAAAGGUGACAGCGCUAGAGCAGUGAUGGUCAGACCAUGAGACAUCCCAUCUGUGGUAAAAGGUGACAGCGCUAGAGCAGUGAUGGUCAGACCAUGAGACAUCCCAUCUGUGGUAAAAGGUGACAGAGCUAGAGCAGUGAUGGUCAGACCAUGAGACAUCCCAUCUGUGGUAAAAGGUGACAGCGCUAGAGCAGUGAUGGUCAGACCAUGAGACAUCCCAUCUGUGGUAAAAGGUGACAGAGCUAGAGCAGUGAUGGUCAGACCAUGAGACAUCCCAUCUGUGGUAAAAGGUGACAGCGCUAGAGCAGUGAUGGUCAGACCAUGAGACAUCCCAUCUGUGGUAAAAGGUGACAGAGCUAGAGCAGUGAUGGUCAGACCAUGAGACAACCCAUCUGUGGUAAAAGUUGACAGCGCUAGAGCAGUGAUGGUCAGACCAUGAGACAUCUCAAAAAUUGGUCUUCUCACAAAAUCAUCUGUAGCGUCUGACUGGUUUGGCCUACAGAACUAUUAUGACCCCUCUAUGGAAAGAUGACUCUCACGAACAGUGUUUUGCUCUACGGCCUUCACAAGUGUCGAGACUCGUCUGACGUUGGUACAGCUGAUCUGCCAACUUGUGUCUGUAGCGUCCAAACCUUUUGGGUUACACACUCUCACGGACAUGUACAUGUUGGAUAUUUUGCUCUAGGAUGCCCACAGGCCUCAAGACUCACCUGAAGGUCCCCGGGUACCAGUUGAAAAAAUGCAUGGAUGUACACUACCGUUCAAAAGUUUAGGGUCACUUAGAAAUGUCCUUGUUUUUAAUUUUUUUUUAAGAAAAGCAAAUGUUGCUAUUGUUAGCACAGCUGGCCUUCUUUAGACUAGUUGAGUAUCUGGAGCAUCAGCAUUUGUGGGUUUGAUUACAGGCUCAAAAUGUUCUCUUCCUCAGUUGUGUACUGGGGCCUCCCACUACUCUUUCUAUUCUGGUUAGAGCAAGUUUGUGCUUUUCUGUGAAGGGAGUAGUACACAGCGUUGUACGAGAUCUUCAGUUUCUUGUCAAUUACUCGCCUUCAUUUCGCAGAACAAGAAUAGACUGACGAGUUUCAAAAGAAAGUUCUUUGUUUCAGGCCAUUUUGAGCCUGUAAUCGAACCCACAAAUGCUGAUGCUCCAGAUACUCAACUAGUCGAAAGAAGGCCAGUGUUAUUGCAUCUUUGAUCAGGACAACAUUUUUCAGCUGUGCUAACAUAAUUGCAAAAGUUAACUGACUUACCUAGUUAAAUAAAAAGGUUCAAGCAUAUGGUUUAUCCUUUUUAUUUAACUAGGUAAGAUAGUUAAGAAUAAAUUAUUAUUUACAAUGAUUGCCUACCGGGGAACUGCCUUGUUCGGGGGCAGAACGACAGAUUUCUACCUUGUCAGCUCGAGGAUUUGAUCCAGCAACCUUGCGGUUACUGGCCCAACGCUCUAACCACUAGGCUACCUGCCACCC